AUAAGAUCCAGACCUGUAACCCAUUAUUGCUGCUUUACGCUAUGAUGCUCAUUCCAGUCCCUCCGUAUUCUUUUAUCUAGCAGCAUUUAUUUUAUAGAGGCCAUUUGGUCAUUCUAGCAAACUCUUCUUAAGUGAACCAUCUUAUUUUAGAGUUUCAUUCCACCCCUAUUAGAGGUCAUGCUAGGGCAUUCUGGAUAUAUAGAAGGUUGGCUACAAG
rnacentral:misc_RNA from 1 species